GUUCUCUCUCUGGAGGAGGAAAGCAUUUUUCAUGCAAUGGGCAGUAUUUCAGAGCAGGACUGUGAUGACUCCAUGGCCUCCCCAGCUAUUCCAUAAGCUCUCAUCCAGGGGCAGGUGCAGAGCAAGGAAUCUGUGGAGUGAAGGAAGAUGGGUGCCUGUUCCCAUGCUUUGGACAUAUUCUCACCAACAUUGCCAAACACCUUCCACGAGGACAGAAUGACAUCAAGGUCAGCUACCACACUGAUGGAAGUUUCUGAAGAUCACCUGGCAAGAUAAGAUCCAGGACAUUGAGCACCUUUCUCCAGCUGAACUGCCAAGCAUUCUGACUUUCUGCAGAGAAUGCAGUCAUAUGGGCUGAUCAUGUUCAGAUGCCAAAAGUACGCUUUCCUAAAAGACUAUUUUAUGGAGAUCUUACACAAGGGAGGUGCUCACCCAGAGGUAAGAAGAAGCAAUACAAGAUACUCUCAAGGUCUCUCUGAAGAAUGUCGGGGCAUGGGAGAUACUGGUACAAGACUUCUUAGCAAAGAAGCUGAUCUGCUACAUGAGCAAAGCUGAAUUACAAUAGCUCAAAAGAAACAUGAGAUGCAUAAAUUUAGAUAUCUCCACACCAAAUGUUCAUAUGGACCGUGUGCCCUACUGGUGGUAGAGCCUUCCGAGCUCAUAGUGGCUUAAUCAGUCAUUGUCAGACACACUAUAACUUGACUCUGACAUAGUAAUCUCAUUUUGGUUCUCUUCAGACAAGACAACACCCAACCAACUGCGUGCCUGGCAUUGCAUUAGGUAGUGGGGGGACAGAGAUAGAAUAAUCCUUGUAUUUGAGAGGCUUAUGUUCUACUGGGGAAAAUUAUAUGUAUACACACAAUUAUAUGAAAAUAUAUUCAACUGAUUGUUCUAACAGAAUUGAUGAGCAGGUUGAUUUCAGAAAAGCCUAGAAAGACUUACAUGAACUUAUGUUGAGUGAACCAAGAG